rnacentral:rRNA from 1 species
UGGGGAAUAUUGGACAAUGGGCGCAAGCCUGAUCCAGCAAUGCCGCGUGUGUGAAGAAGGCCUUCGGGUUGUAAAGCACUUUUAUCAGGAGCGAAAUACUACCGAUUAAUACUCGGUGGGGCUGACGGUACCUGAGGAAUAAGCACCGGCUAACUUCGUGCCAGCAGCCGCGGUAAUACGAAGGGUGCAAGCGUUAAUCGGAAUUACUGGGCGUAAAGGGUGCGUAGGCGGUUAUUUAAGUCUGCCGUGAAAUCCCCGGGCUCAACCUGGGAAUGGCGGUGGAUACUGGAUGGCUAGAGUGUGUCAGAGGAUGGUGGAAUUCCCGGUGUAGAGGUGAAAGGCGUAGAGAUCGGGAGGAACAUCAGUGGCGAAGGCGAGUCCCUGGACGACUCCUGACACUGAGGCACGAAAGCUAG